GGUCGCGGUCCCCCGCGCUCCCGGAACUUUGGGCUCCCGGGUGGCGCCCUCCAGCCCGCGCCCUGUCGUCCCGCUUCCGGCCCGCGGCGAUCCCCGGCGACCGUUGUGCGGAGCCUCGCAUCUGCCGGGCGUUGCGGAGCGCGGAGCCCGCGGCCCCAUGAGGUCCUCCGAGGAUGAAGAUGCAUUCAAAUGCCAACAGAAGUAUCCAUAAUCUAGAGGAUAAACAUAGCUAAAAAAUCUCUUCAAUGAGGCAGAGCACACUUAGAAGCUCCUGACAUUCAUUUCCGUACUGCCACUGCUACCCACAGGAUGGGAGAGGAGGCGGCCAAUGAGGAGGAGUGGAAUGGUGCGAGCACAGCUGAAAGAACACGAAUGCCGCGAGCACUGUUACCCGCUCCCAUCUUCACAGCGUUCCUGCAGUGACAGCAGAGUUUUUCUCCUCUGAGGUACUGGUGAUUAAGUCCUUGUGAGAAAAAGCUAUAGACCUCCAAAUAAAACUGAAAGAAAAAAGCUUUCCCAACAGAUGGCAAAUUAAAACUUAAGGUAACAUAUCGACUUCAAGAACUCAUAACUCUUUAAUAACUGAAUCCAGACACAUCGAACAGAAUGAAAUUGCAAAGAAUUCAGAAGUCUUGAAAAGUCUUGUUUUGAAAAUGAUCAGUAACCUCCAGAAAAUUUAAAUGAACAAAAUGAAUUAAGCUAAAACCUGGACAUAAGCAUCAAGAACUUGGAUGAAAAUUUCAACUUGGGAAAAAUAGUAAUAUAAGAACAUCCAAAGCUUAAUAAAUCAAAAUAUUCCAAGGAAAACAUCAAGUAGACCAGGUUGCACAAAGACUAUGAAGUACUGACAGUAGGAGAGAAGAGUUGUUACACUCAGAUGACAAAAAAGUUCAAGAUGGUGAAAUUCCUUCCUGUAGCUUAUCUCAAUUCUCAAGGCCCAGUCAUACACAACUCUCCAAAUCUGCAGGUGCUC